rfam:Ciona savignyi cont_33904, whole genome shotgun sequence.
GUCGUCGUGGCCGAGUGAUUAAGGCGACAGACUAGAAAUCUGUUGGGCUCUGCCCGCACAGGUUCGAAUCCUGUCGGCGACG